rnacentral:lncRNA from 1 species
AUGUUGAGGCCAAGAUGUCCACCGUCUCCCCAGACUGACAGCAGCCUUAACAGAAACUCCUGCAGGGCAGUGGGUGGAAGCAUGGAGAAGUCAGACAAUAAAAAAGACUUUUGGGCAAGGUCAGUGAAUUUGAAGAACGAACCAGGGCAAUGCCAGGAGUUUGCAGUGCUCAUCUGCUGGGGACUGGUGGAAGAGAUUUUGAAUGUAGGUGAUGUCACCUCACAUAUGAACUGAACAAGACUUGCACAGAAUGAUGGCCACAAGGAUCUUUAUGAGGUCUACAGCCAUAAAUUUUGAAGCUGAAGAGGCUGAACCAGGAACCAUCUGAGCUCUCCUUCCCGCACGGUUUGUAUGCUCGCUCGCUCACUCACUUCUGCCAGCUUCCUCGACAUUACUCAAAAUGUGUUCUGCCUCAUUGUUUAGAAACUUGUGUAAUGUUUUGGUUUUUGUAUUUAAAAUGGGUAGGAUGGUAGGAGAUUGAGGGGUGCCCAGCUUUCUCUGCAAUGAGCAGUUGUUAGAGCAACCACCCAAGCCACAGUGAGGCUGGAUUUGGCUUCCUCUGGAGCCCAUGUGGUUUGGACUGGCAUUUUCAGCUUCCUGGAGAGCUGCUGGAAAGUAGCGCUGUUAAAUAAAUCUGUGUUUCAUGGUUCAGGAAAAGCAAAGGAAGCAAUGGCUGAAAGAAGAGUUGUGGGGAUUUUACAAGAAAUAACACUUGGCUCAGGGACUGGAAGUCAGAAUGACGGAGGCCUUGCUGGACUGUGCCUGCUGUCUCCUACUGAACAUCUUCCAGGAUCGUGCUAUCCCCAAACUCAUAAACUAUGGGAAACAAAUGUUCAGGUUUUAAAUGUCAUAUAAAUUUGGCGUAGCUGAAUUAAUGGUUCCAGCUCUGAAAGCUGCUGUUUUACUUUACCACUCAGUAAGCUUGGUGCUCGCUUAUCAUGAAUCUGAUUAAAAUCCACAUCUCCGAGUACGACAAACCAAGUCAUAAAAUCCUGGGCCAAUGGGGAUUGCCUCUCAGAGUUAACUGUAGCUCCUAGGUGCUGUUUCAGCCUGCAAGACAGAAGAAAUUUUGAAAUAAAGAUGCGUUUAUCUGUCUUCCUGUCCUUGCUGCCACUGGUUAGAUGUGUUGGUCUGUUUGCCUGUGGAGCUGUGCUGCAGAGGUAGCAUCGGGGGCUAUGCUAUUUAUUUACUUCUGUGCCCUGUUCUCAAAUCCACAACAUUCCUGUAAAUGUGCGGCAUGGCUUUUGUCUGAAUAACAUGUAUUAAUUUCUUUAUCUGAAUACUGUAGAAAUGAACAAUACAACACUGCCAAGAUUUACUGCACAGAGCUCAACUGCUGGGUGGAGGAUAGCUGCAGGUAAGUCCGUGUCGGAAUAUUCCUGAAUUUUUGAAACACUGCCUUGUGCCUGUUUUCUCUGUUUGGAAAGUAGGUCAAGGAGUUUGUUUUCUGGCAUUUUCCCCCUCUGUACUUAUCUGUUACAUCUCUGCAGACUCUUCUUUAAAGUAUGCACCUAUUAACAGUUCUGGUCUUUUAUUCUUACAUUACACUAACAUUUGGAGAACAGCAUCCUGGGAUUAAGUCCUGAAUAUGGAUUUCAAUAAUAUUGCCUGAAGAUGAAUUUCAGAAAACUCAUAUUUUUCUGGACCUGGAGUGCCUUUUUCUUUACUACUGCUAUUCUGCAAAUGCCACUUUUUUACUUUGUCUUGUAGUUAAGCAAGACUUUGCCAUUUAUACUAUAUAUAUUAUACUAUAUUAUAUUAUACAUGUAUACUAUAUAUGUAUUACACUAUACAGCUUCUUAGACAAAUUCACCCACUUUAGGCAACAAACAUUUCAUAAUAUCCACAGAGAAGACAAAAUAACUUGACUUUACCAUUUAAACUAGGGUUGGAUUCUGCCUCCUGGUAUUCAAAGGGUAUCUUAAAUUGAGAAUAUAUUUUAGAUAUCAAUGAAAUUAAAAUACUGACUCUUUCAUUUGACACCAGUUUCUAGUGUUUCUUGUUACUAAGGUGAAACCAUUUAGACCACAGUUCCUAA